rnacentral:tRNA from 1 species
GCGGGGAUGGACAAAUCGGUAAAGUCGACCGGCUCAAACCCGGGAGGCCGCGAGGCAGUGAGGGUUCGAGUCCCUCUCCCCGCA